GUGCGACACCCUGAAUUUCCGGAUCGACAAGGACCGAUCGAUUUUUCCCCUUCCUCCUGUGCCGCUCGCGUGGGCGGCUCUGAAGGCGCUAACCCUAGCCCCGCGAGUGCCUCCCUCCCCGAGCUCCCCUGGCUGUCGACGCCGGCGGCGGUGGCGGCGCUCGGCCGUCGAAGGCGGCGGGCGAAGUCGUUGCGCCCCGACGGGCCUCCCACGCGCGGGGGAGUGGCGUCAUGCGGGCGACGCGGUGGUCUCUCCGGUGUGGAGGCGGGUGGCGCGGCGGGCGGUGAGGUGCGCACAGGGAGGCGGAGCAUGGCCGCGGGAUUGUGGAUGAGGUGCUGGUGUGCGGCGCUUCUCCUGAGAGCGCCUGGCGGUUGUUGGAGGGGGCGGCGCGCCCGGGCAUCAAGGCGGCUGAUCUCGGCCAGGUGGGCUGCACAAGCGGCGGUCGGCAGCGGGCUCAGAUUGCGUCGGCGGCGGCGGGGUCUAUCUCCUCCGUCGAUCAGCGACGGCGUGGGACACCCCGGGCUCGGCCGUGAAGAUGGAUUUCUCCGGCUAGGCAAUCGACUCCGCAAAUCUGUUCCUCGAACUUGCACCAGGGAUGCAUAAUGCCCCUGCGGCCGUUCCUACAGGGAGGCACACUGGUUGAACCACUGAAAGGGAGCACAUAAAGCUGCAGAGGCAACAACUCCAAAGGAAUCAGUGUGAUUGCUGUAAUUUGAGAAGGCACUGAUAUAACACUGAUAUUACUGAAGAAAUCAUUUCUGCAACACUCGAUCUUGAGUCUGCACUUGCUAACAGAGAUGCACCCAAAACACGAUACUCCUGAUUGUUUGAUUGGUAACAAUCCUCUCGCAGAAAACUCUAAUUAGAUUCCUUUUACUUUCCAAAUCUUGACAUUUUGCAUUUUAAUUAUUAUCCUAUAUGCACGGUAUCAUAGAAAAUUAUUGCUAAUGUCUACAUUGGAAAGGAUCCAAACUAUAAACAAGUAAUUGGUGAUGUUAUCGACUAGGGCUUUCUUUCACAACUCACUGCCGAUGUUGUUAAUUUAUCUUGCAUCUCCGCCUCCUUGGCAUUAUCCUUUUUGUAGUUAAGCAUGAACAUGAUUUAGAUGCUCAUAUUCAGGUAGCAUUCUUGGGUGAGCUAUUGAUUUUUGUUUCAGUGCGAGACAAUUUUUUUAAUAUUAUUAUUUUGCUCCUCAUUUUGUCUAGGUAGCAUAGGAUUAUACCACCGAUAAUUCUUAGUAGGAUUUGCUGCACAACAGGCAUGGUGCACACACAUGCCUGCAUAUUUGUCAAUAUUCUAUCAGAAGCAGUUUGUUGCGCACUUAAGUGUAACAGAAGGUGUGCUACUGUUUCCACAUCUCCUUGUGCUAAUCACUAAUAUUUUUUUCCAAGUCUUUUCUUCCUUUUUGUAAUGACCCUGAAAUAGUUUCAGCAUUGGAGUCAGUUUCUUCGUUGUCUUCAGUGUUCUUAUGGCAAAGGAAGUCCCCUGUUUGUAUAGGCGAUUGUGUGCACAUGAAUAUUUUUCAUAAUAUACAAUUAAAUUUUAUAGUAAACACUUCUAUGAUGGUGAAGUUUUUUCUGGAUCUGACCAAGAUGAACAAUGUAACCUGGGACAAUACUUUAUAUCAUAGGAAAUUUUCCAAGUCUUCAGUGUUCUUAUCUUCGACAUAUUCAGUGUUCUUUCCUUCAGAAUCCCUGUAAUUUUUUUUUCAGCAUGACUUAGCACAGUUAACUGAAGAUGUUCCGUUGUCUAAACAUGCUGAUGGCGAAGCAAAUGUUCAGGUAUACCGGAAACCUGUGUAGCUAUACAAAUAUAACUUGGUAGCACACUUUACUGUAGUAAGAUGUUUAUAUGCAAAAGUAUUAAAAACUGAUAUACCAAGACUACCGUGAGUCAUGCAUGUCCGUGCCUUCCAGGUGAUGUGCCCAACAUUCUUCUGCACAAGAAUGGCUAUGAGAGCUGAGCGUGAACCACAUAUAUCACUUUGAUUAAAGUUGGGUAAUUUGAGGUGUGCCUGCUGGUUAUGCAAAAAAUAUAUUUUGUCUAGAAUUGUUUUCUAUUGUUGUGGUAAAGCUUGAAUCAGAUUUUGUUGUAUACUAUGAAGAGUUACAGCAACAUGAAGCUGUCACACCAUAUCACUUUGGAUGCCUGCAGGCUGGAGCCGAGUCGCGUUUGGUCACACAUUGGAGCUGUUCUUGUGAACUUGGGUGAUGAGCGGGUGGCAUUUGUACCUAAAGGGUAUCGAGUGUCGAAUGUUUUUUUAUCUCCUUUGUUAUUCUGAUUGUGCGAUUCACAUUAUCAAUCAUUCGACAAUUAUAGUUUUGAUGUUAUAGUUCCAUCUCAAUCAUUCAUUUGAGAUUUACAUAUAUAUGAUUUGUGCACAGGAUGACCAAAUACUGCAGAGGAACUUUUUAAUCGAUGAUGGGAAAUCAUGGUGGUUUAUGAUCCUUGCAAGUGUAUGAGAAUAUCUUUGCCACAUCACAGGACAAACAAUUUGAAAGAGAGUUGUAGUGAAAGUUGGCUAUCAUGAUGUGAACUUGCAUAUUUUAAUCCAAACGACGUAUUUGAAUUAUGUGUUUAGUGUCCUUUGUGAAUAUGUGUUUGCACUGUGGUCAUUUUCCUACUAUGUACGGUCUACACUUGCAAUGCAAAGCUGUAUAGAAUAGGACAAGAUCAUUUCCCUGCUCCA